rnacentral:rRNA from 1 species
ACGUAGGGUGCGAGCGUUAAUCGGAAUUACUGGGCGUAAAGCGUGCGCAGGCGGUUUAGUAAGACAGGCGUGAAAUCCCCGGGCUCAACCUGGGAACUGCGCUUGUGACUGCUAAGCUAGAGUACGGCAGAGGGGGGUGGAAUUCCACGUGUAGCAGUGAAAUGCGUAGAGAUGUGGAGGAACACCGAUGGCGAAGGCAGCCCCCUGGGCCGAUACUGACGCUCAUGCACGAAAGCGUGGGUAGCAAACAG